CCUACGGGGGGCUGCAGUGGGGAAUAUUGGACAAUGGGGGCAACCCUGAUCCAGCCAUGCCGCGUGUGUGAAGAAGGCCCUCGGGUUGUAAAGCACUUUCAGUGAGGAAGAACGCCUGGUGGUUAAUACCCAUCAGGAAAGACAUCACUCACAGAAGAAGCACCGGCUAACUCCGUGCCAGCAGCCGCGGUAAUACGGAGGGUGCGAGCGUUAAUCGGAAUUACUGGGCGUAAAGCGCGCGUAGGUGGCUUGAUAAGCCGGUUGUGAAAGCCCCGGGCUCAACCUGGGAACGGCAUCCGGAACUGUCAAGCUAGAGUGCAGGAGAGGAAGGUAGAAUUCCCGGUGUAGCGGUGAAAUGCGUAGAGAUCGGGAGGAAUACCAGUGGCGAAGGCGGCCUUCUGGACUGAAACUGACACUGAGGUGCGAAAGCGUGGGUAGCAAACAGGAUUAGAUACCCCGGUAGUC
rnacentral:rRNA from 1 species